ACAUGAGCUUGCUCAUAGGUGGGUGAAAGACUUUGUGACCCGCCCCGAUAUGAGCAUAAAAGUGGGAUGUUAAUCCCACGAUAUGCGAAUAUUGGGUAGGGUUGCGGGAGCACUUAGUGCGGAGCAAUCCGCAUGCAUC
rnacentral:sRNA from 1 species